AGGACGAACGCUGGCGGCGUGCCUAACACAUGCAAGUCGAACGGGGUCCAACCGGUGGCAACACUGGUGAAGACCUAGUGGCGAACGGGUGAGUAUCACGUGAGCAACCUGCCCCGAAGACUGGGAUAACACCGGGAAACCGGUGCUAAUACCGGAUACCCCCACCGGAUCGCAUGGUCUGGUGAGGAAAUGAAUUUUGCUUUGGGAGGGACUCGCGGCCUAUCAGCUUGUUGGUGGUGUAACGGACCACCAAGGCUUCGACGGGUAGCUGGUCUGAGAGGACGAUCAGCCACACUGGGACUGAGACACGGCCCAGACUCCUACGGGAGGCAGCAGUGGGGAAUCUUGCGCAAUGGGCGAAAGCCUGACGCAGCAACGCCGCGUGAGGGACGAAGGCCUUCUGGGUUGUAAACCUCUUUCAGCAGGGACGAUGAUGACGGUACCUGCAGAAGAAGCCCGGCAACUACGUGCCAGCAGCCGCGGU
rnacentral:rRNA from 1 species